CUACGGGACGCACCAGUGGGGAAUAUUGCACAAUGGACGAAAGUCUGAUGCAGCAACGCCGCGUGGAGGAUGACACAUUUCGGUGCGUAAACUCCUUUUAUAUAGGAAGAUAAUGACGGUACUAUAUGAAUAAGCACCGGCUAACUCCGUGCCAGCAGCCGCGGUAAUACGGAGGGUGCAAGCGUUACUCGGAAUUACUGGGCGUAAAGAGCGUGUAGGCGGGUUUGUAAGUUGGAUGUGAAAUCCUAUGGCUCAACCAUAGAACUGCAUCCAAAACUGCCUACCUAGAAUAUGGGAGAGGUAGAUGGAAUUUCUGGUGUAGGGGUAAAAUCCGUAGAGAUCAGAAGGAAUACCGAUUGCGAAGGCGAUCUACUGGAACAUUAUUGACGCUGAGACGCGAAAGCGUGGGGAGCAAACAGGAUUAGAUACCCGGGUAGUC
rnacentral:rRNA from 1 species